CGUAGGGUGCGAGCGUUGUCCGGAAUUAUUGGGCGUAAAGAGCUCGUAGGCGGUUUGUCGCGUCUGCUGUGAAAACUAGAGGCUCAACUUCCAGCGUGCAGUGGGUACGGGCAGGCUAGAGUGCGGUAGGGGAGAUUGGAAUUCCUGGUGUAGCGGUGGAAUGCGCAGAUAUCAGGAGGAACACCGAUGGCGAAGGCAGAUCUCUGGGCCGUUACUGACGCUGAGGAGCGAAAGAGUGGGGAGCGAACAGG
rnacentral:rRNA from 1 species